GCGAUCGUGGCGGAAUUGGCAUACGCGCACGUUUGAGGGGCGUGUCCGAUAAGGGUACGGGUUCAAGUCCCGUCGAUCGCA
rnacentral:tRNA from 1 species